CCUACGGGUGGCUGCAGUGAGGAAUAUUGGUCAAUGGACGAGAGUCUGAACCAGCCAAGUAGCGUGAAGGAUGACUGCCCUAUGGGUUGUAAACUUCUUUUAUAUGGGAAUAAAAUGUUCCACGUGUGGGAUUUUGUAUGUACCAUAUGAAUAAGGAUCGGCUAACUCCGUGCCAGCAGCCGCGGUAAUACGGAGGAUCCGACCGUUAUCCGGAUUUAUUGGGUUUAAAGGGAGCGUAGGUGGUUUGUUAAGUCAGUUGUGAAAGUUUGCGGCUCAACCGUAAAAUUGCAGUUGAAACUGGCAGUCUUGAGUACAGUAGAGGUGGGCGGAAUUCGUGGUGUAGCGGUGAAAUGCUUAGAUAUCACGCAGAACUCCGAUUGCGAAGGCAACUCACUGGACUGCAACUGACACUGAGGCUCGAAAGUGUGGGUAGCAAACAGGAUUAGAUACCCUUGUAGUC
rnacentral:rRNA from 1 species